rnacentral:rRNA from 1 species
ACUCAAAUGAAUUGACGGGGACCCGCACAAGCGGUGGAACAUGUGGUUUAAUUCGAUGCUACGCGAAGAACCUCACCAGGACUUGACAUACAGGAAGUAGUGAAAUGAAAGUGGAACGACCCGUUAAGUCGGGAGCCUGUACAGGUGCUGCAUGGCUGUCGUCAGCUCGUGUCGUGAGAUGUUGGGUUAAGUCCCGCAACGAGCGCAACCAUUGCCCUAUGUUGCCAGUAUAUUUGCGAAAGCGAAUGUACGCACUCUUAGGGGACUGCCUGGGAUAACCAGGAGGAAGGUGGAGAUGACGUCAAGUCAGUACGGCCCUUAUGUUCUGGGCUACACACGUGUUACAAUGGUAGGUACAAAGGGUUGCCAACCCGCGAGGGGGAGCUAAUCUCAAAAAACCUACCUCAGUUCGGAUAGCAGUCUGCAAUUCGACUGCUUGAAGCCGGAAUCGCUAGUAAUGGAAGAUCAGCUCGCUUCCGUGAAUACGUUCCCGGGUCUUGUACACACCGCCCGU